rnacentral:rRNA from 1 species
UAGGGAAUCUUCGGCAAUGGACGGAAGUCUGACCGAGCAACGCCGCGUGAGUGAAGAAGGUUUUCGGAUCGUAAAGCUCUGUUGUUAGAGAAGAACGUUGGUAGGAGUGGAAAAUCUACCAAGUGACGGUAACUAACCAGAAAGGGACGGCUAACUACGUGCCAGCAGCCGCGGUAAUACGUAGGUCCCGAGCGUUGUCCGGAUUUAUUGGGCGUAAAGCGAGCGCAGGCGGUUCUUUAAGUCUGAAGUUAAAGGCAGUGGCUUAACCAUUGUACGCUUUGGAAACUGGAGGACUUGAGUGCAGAAGGGGAGAGUGGAAUUCCAUGUGUAGCGGUGAAAUGCGUAGAUAUAUGGAGGAACACCGGUGGCGAAAGCGGCUCUCUGGUCUGUAACUGACGCUGAGGCUCGAAAGCGUGGGGAGCAAACAGGAUUAGAUACCCUGGUAGUCCACGCCGUAAACGAUGAGUGCUAAGUGUUAGGGGGUUUCCGCCCCUUAGUGCUGCAGCUAACGCAUUAAGCACUCCGCCUGGGGAGUACGACCGCAAGGUUG